ACUCAAAGGAAUUGACGGGGGCCCGCACAAGCGGUGGAGUAUGUGGUUUAAUUCGAAGCAACGCGCAGAACCUUACCUGGGUUUGACAUCCCGUGACGCCUGCAGAGAUGUAGGUUCCCUUUCGGGGGCACGGAGACAGGUGCUGCAUGGCUGUCGUCAGCUCGUGUUGUGAAAUGUUGGGUUAAGUCCCGCAACGAGCGCAACCCUUGCCUUUAGUUGGUACCAGUAAGAUGACCACUCUGAAGGGACUGCCGGUGUUAAACCGGAGGAAGGCGGGGAUGACGUCAAGUCCUCAUGGCCCUUACAUCCAGGGCUACACACGUACUACAAUGGUAGAAACAGACUGCCUCGCAAGACCGUAAGGUGGAGCUAAUCAGAAAAACACUACCUCAGUUCGGAUUGAGGUCUGCAACCCGACCUCAUGAAGCUGGAAUCGCUAGUAAUCGCAGAUCAGCACGCUGCGGUGAAUACGUUCCCGGGCCUUGUACACACCGCCCGU
rnacentral:rRNA from 1 species